GUUUAUGAAGAUAGUAGAAAUUGCACGUUUGACUUUUAGUUAAUCAACCGACAUAGCCAAGGAGAAAAAGAGAAAAGGAAAUAUUGUGAUUUCUUGCGAUUAUUUCGAGGAAACUCCCCCUUUUUCCUUUGAACUUAUUCGACAUUUUUUUCUGACAGCUGCAUUGAAUAGACUCGACGAGAGACAGGGUCAGAAAAAACCUUUUUUUGUUCUUCUUUCGUUACCAUUACCCUGAAAUUGCUGUCAGUUCUUGCUUCUUGGGCCAGAAAUGAGAAAAUGGUUUAGUCUGAUUCCGGCAAAUUUUUCGGGAUGCACGUGCUCAAUGAAUCGUUAAAUUAUAGAGACAUUUUUCUGUUAACGACUUAACGGAUCUGCUCGUGUGCUGGCGUGCUGGACAACUGCUGUGGUUAUUUUCCACCUGUUCAGCACUGAAUGUGUGGUCCUACUACGAACUUCAUCAAAUGAAAGCUAAAAUCUUGUUCGGCACUGCCCGGUGGCCUCGUUAAAUUGAAAAGAUGGGCUGCAACUGGUUGCACGAUUGUCAUUCACGCACUGUCCUCCAGCUUGCAAGAAGCUCCCGUUUCUCGGGCAGGUGAAUGCCGGACUAACCGGUGGCCGCGUUUGUCCUGCAAUGCUCAAAUCUGGCCUGGAUAUCAAACGAAUAAUUUAACAAAUAGGGAAAGACAAUUUAGUUUCAUCUCGACUUACACUAAUGGAUUUGCGCAUUUAUGGUUGACGCCUUGCCGAGCUCCAGUCCGACAGGGUUGUAAAAAAGAAUGCAGUGGGUUACGUGAUUCAGAGGCCCUUUUAUUGGACGAUCCGUUUUGUUUUGGUGAGAAUCCCUGCGAUCCUAAUGCGUAGCAAUCUCCUUUCACGGUCGGAACCAGUUGCUGCAUUGGACUUUUGAAGCAUUGACACUCGGCUGGGCCACAGAAUAAUCGACCCCCUUGACUUAUCGUCACCACCUGUUUAUCUGGACAGGGACCUUUUCACGACAUUUCAGGGUCCUCUGCUCAAAACAGGGUAACAGUUACCAUCGGAAAAUCGCACAGAAUUGUCAUCGCAUCCAUCUUUUGGGAAAUCUAAUCCAGUUACGGGAAACGGCAAACUAUUGACAGGUAUUUGAUUGAUGACACUCUGUUGGUUGUUGUUGUUUUGUUGAUUUUCAUUAUUCUGUUGGUUGUUGUUUUGUUGGUUGUUGCUGUUUAAACUGACCACUGCAGCAAUAAUGGCCAUUCCGGCCGAUAAUGCUCCGGAGACUCCCGCAGCUAUUUCACCUGACCGUCCUGCGGCGACAAUGGCAGACGAUGCCAUACAAUUUGCUUCCAGUUUCUCACAAUCCUUUUCAUUGCUGACAUAAAUAGACCGACCAAUAUCUCGACCAUCAUCAUCUGAUGGUGCUGGAGAAGAUGAUGGAAAAGGUGGCGGAUUAACUGCCUGCGUGGAAUUGAGGCAAGUGGUUGUACAGUCCCCACUGGCAGUGACACAAGUGUAUCCCGCAUCCUGUCGCCGAAACCCAAAAGGACUCUGCUGCAAUUCCAAGUUGAUUGAACCUUCUAUGUCUGAGCAUCCUGUUCAUCAGUUGCUGUAGCCAUUCUGUCACCGUCACUUUGCUAUUCAACGAGCGUGAAAGCUCUUCAGGAUGGUCGGUAAGCUCGUGAGUUUGGUGCCUCUUUACAUCGACAUAGUUUUGUAAUAAAUCCCAUCGCUAAUGCAAUACUCCCGAUUCCAAUUCCCGCCGAUAAGGCAACAGCGGUCCCAACAGCUAUUGCACCCGAUUUUCUAGCCUCGGCUAAUGCGGAAGAAACGACACAUUCACUUUCAAGUGUUGGCGCCAAUGCAAAUGCCACGGCUCCAGCGGCUAUUGCUGCCGAUAUUGCACCUGUCACUACGGCGGAUCCCGCUCCCGAUUUGGCUGCAGCGACGAUGGCUGACGAACCGAUGCAGUCGACUUGCAGUUUAUCACAAUCACUUUUAUCGACUGUCAGGAAAGUGCGAGUAGUUACGACGCUUGUUGAAGAAAUGAGAUGCACAACAGCCUGGAAAACGGCCGUUCGAGUACAAAAGCGACCGCUGAUCUGCUCCGGUGACAG